UACGUAGGUGGCAAGCGUUAUCCGGAUUUACUGGGCGUAAAGCGCGCGCAGGCGGGACUUGCAAGUCGGGAGUGAAAGGCCGGGGCUCAACCCCGGAGCUGCUUUCGAGACUGCGGACCUGGAGACCAGUAGGGGUUGGUGGAAUUCCCGGUGUAGCGGUGAAAUGCGCAGAUAUCAGGAGGAACACCAAUGGCGAAGGCAGGUCUCUGGGCAGUUACUGACGCUGAGGAGCGAAAGCAUGGGUAGCGAACAGGAUUAGAUACCCCGGUA
rnacentral:rRNA from 1 species